UAAAAGUCGUAACAAGGUUUCCGUAGGUGAACCUGCGGAAGGAUCAUUAAAAAUUUAAUUGUUUACACGUUUACGUUUAACAUAUACAACUAACCAACUUAAUUAUGUCAACAACAACAACCAAAAAUCAAAACUUUCAACAACGGAUCUCUUGGUUCUCGCAUCGAUGAAGAACGCAGCGAAAUGCGAUAAGUAAUAUGAAUUGCAGAUUUUCGUGAAUCAUCGAAUCUUUGAACGCACAUUGCACCUUGUGGUAUUCCACAAGGUAUGCCUGUUUGAGCGUCAUUUCUCCCUCAACCCCCGCGGGUUGGCGUUGAAUGGCACGAGCUCUUAGUCAGUCCAUUCGAAAAGUAUUUUUCUUGUGUUGUUAUUUUCUAAUUUAGUAGUGACAACCACACUAAAAACACAUUUUCCUCAAAUCAGGUAGGACUACCCGCUGAACUUAAGCA
rnacentral:rRNA from 1 species